GACGAACGCUGGCGGCGUGCUUAACACAUGCAAGUCGAACGGAAAGGCCCGGCUUUUGUGGGGUGCUCGAUUGGCGAACGGGUGAGUAACACGUGAGUAACCUGCCCUUGACUUUGGGAUAACUUCAGGAAACUGGGGCUAAUACCGGAUAGGAUCUCCUGCUGCAUGGUGGGGGUUGGAAAGUUUCGGCUUUUGGGGCUGGACUGGCGGCUUAUCAGCUUGUUGGUGGGGUAGUGGCUUACCACGGCUUUGAGGGGUAGCCGGCAUGAGAGGGUGACCGGCCACAUUGGGACUGAGGUAGGGCCCAGACUCCUACGGGAGGCAGCAGUGGGGAAUAUUGCACAAUGGGCGGAAGCCUGAUGCAGCAACGCCGCGUGCGGGAUGACCGCCUUCGGGUUGUAAACCGCCUUCGACUGUGACGAAGCGUGAGUGACGGUAAUGGGUAAAGAAGCACCGGCUAACUACGUG
rnacentral:rRNA from 1 species